rnacentral:rRNA from 1 species
ACGCACGCUGGCGGCGUGCUUAACCCAUGCAAGUCGAACGGAAAGACCCUGCUUUUGUGGGGUGCUCGAGCGGCGAACGGGUGAGUAACACGUGAGUAACCUGCCCUUGACUUUGGGAUAACUUCAGGAAACUGGGGCUAAUACCGGAUAGGAGCUCCUGCUGCAUGGUGGGGGUUGGAAAGUUUCGGCGGUUGGGGAUGGACUCGCGGCUUAUCAGCUUGUUGGUGGGGUAGUGGCUUACCAAGGCUUUGACGGGUAGCCGGCCUGAGAGGGUGACCGGCCACAUUGGGACUGAGCUACGGCCCAGACUCCUCCGGGAGGCAGCAGUGGGGAAUAUUGCACAAUGGGCGGAAGCCUGAUGCAGCAACGCCGCGUGCGGGAUGACGGCCUUCGGGUUGUAAACCGCUUUCGCCUGUGACGAAGCGUGAGUGACGGUAAUGGGUAAAGAAGCACCGGCUAACUACGUG